rnacentral:lncRNA from 1 species
GGAAAUGAUGGACCCAGUGAUAUGUCACAAUCCCCACUGAGGGCAGGGCCCAGGGGAAAAAAAAGAGUCAAAUCACCUAGGUGAUGGGUUCAGGCAUGUCGCAAUGCCUUUUUUGGGAACAGCCUAAGCAGGAUUGGAGAGGCACAUAACCUACAACAUAUGGCCCGGAGAUAUGUCACAAUCCCCCUUGAGGGCAGCGCCCAGGCAGGAGCAUCACAUAUUCUUGGUACUUGGCCAAGGUGUAUGUCAAAAUCUCAACUAUAGAAUGGGCUUCUGCAGGACAGCAAAAUUCAUCAGUUCUCUGACAAAGAUACAUGUAACAAUCACCCUGUGGGAAGGUCCAGAUAUAAGAUUUACAAUCUCGCACUUGUCCCAGCUUGAGAUACAAGAUUCAUCAUCAUGCCUGUGAGCUGGGUCCAAUAAUGAAUCACCAUCCUACCUGUGGCCAAAUGCAUAUAUGACAGUUACAACUCUAACUGCAGACUGCAUCGGCAUGUAAAAUUUAGGUCACCAGUGGGCUCUCUCCAUGUUUGAAUGUGGUGAUUCUAAUGGUCAGUGAGGUGUGCAUAGGAGAGUCACAAUCUCAUCUUCAAGUGGGCCUUGUAUCAGCACUCUCUGUACUCUCUUAGGACUAUAUGACAUAUCGGUGGGCUUAUAAUGUUCUGUGACCUUUGUACAAGUAAGGGACACAAGACCUUAUUUGUUGCCCUAUGCCUCACUAUGUGAGUAAAAAAUCACAUCUUUUGGCUGGGUUUAUGUAUGAGAAUCAUCAUCAUGCUUUCCAGCAGGGCUCAUGUAUGUGACACAAGGCCCACCAUGAACAGGGCCCA